rnacentral:rRNA from 1 species
AACGCGAAGAACCUUACCAGGUCUUGACAUCCCUUUGAAUGUCUUAGAGAUAAGGCAGGCCUUCGGGACAAAGGAGACAGGUGGUGCAUGGUUGUCGUCAGCUCGUGUCGUGAGAUGUUGGGUUAAGUCCCGCAACGAGCGCAACCCUUGGAUUUAGUUGCCAGCACAUCAUGGUGGGCACUCUAGAUCGACUGCCGGUGACAAACCGGAGGAAGGUGGGGAUGACGUCAAAUCAUCAUGCCCCUUAUGACCUGGGCUACACACGUACUACAAUGGUCGGUACAACGGGAAGCGAAGGAGCGAUCUGGAGCGAAUCUUAUAAAGCCGAUCUCAGUUCGGAUUGCAGGCUGCAACUCGCCUGCAUGAAGUCGGAAUUGCUAGUAAUCGCGGAUCAGCAUGCCGCGGUGAAUACGUUCCCGGGCCUUGUACACACCGCACUACUA